ensembl:lncRNA
GGGAGUUUGCAAUACAAUUAGUUGUUUUUCUUUAGCAGACAGUUAGAGAUGCAACACAUAUGGUAACUUAUAUUGUCCACCUCCUUUCAAUGAAAUUGUCAGCUUUCUAUGAAUCUUAUGGAAAAUAAAGAAGUUGCUUGGCUACAAACUGAUCAUCUGCUGAGUAACAGUUCAGUACACUUACAGACAUGUUGAGUAGAAGGGGAACCUUAUGAUCAGGUGGUAAUUUCUGAGCAGUAUCUGCUGUUGGUGACAAGUUGUUUUGCUUACUAGCAGCAGCAGAAAUACUGGUCUGUGACUAAGAGAUAAAGCUGGAGAGUCUUAAUGCCUCUAUGGAGUACCCAUGAGUACGCAUGCGCACAUUUCCUGCCUGUUCAGCUAGAUGGUUACUGUCUUCUCAGUCAGAGAUGGAAUUUGAACAAUAGGAAAAUAAUGUAUUUAUAUCAAGAAUAUUGAAGAAAAUAUUUUAAAUGCUUGUCGUGGGAUGAAUUUUUUUCUUUUUUUUUUUUUUUCCUGUCGUGCGACAGGGCCUAGCUCCAUUUCCCCAGCCCCUCCCCCUCACAGGAAGCUGUCAGAAAAGUGAGAAGGAGGAGUUGCUGCUCGAUUGAGAUAAACUAUUUUACUAAAAAUGGGUGACAUCUGGCCAAGAUGAUGUGAGGUCAGAAGAGAACUAUACACAAGUAAAUGGAGAAGCUGAUCUAGGUGCAUAGGAUUGCCAGAUGGAGAACAACAGGCAACACAAUGGCUUAUCUCAAACAUACAUGGAUUCGAUGUGACCCUACAUCCUCCAGGACUCAUGUAUGCAGACUGAAACAGGUGAGACAGCUUAUUGCCACCUUCUUGGAUAUAUCUGUCACUGCUGCUGUGGGAAGAAAGAAACCAGCAGGAAGGUCACACAGGUCUUUUCUGUGUUGGUCUUCAGAUGCGAUGACAUCGUACCUUCCUCUUUUGAUAUCAUCUGGUAUAUGGUCAUUUUCUGAAAUAUUUUUAGUCAUGUUGGCUCAUUAGUUCUACUUCAGCUUUCUUUGGAAUCACUGAAUGACUUGGAUUGGAAGGGACCUCAAAGACUAUCAGGUUCCAACACCCCUGCAACAGGCAGCUAGAUCAAGCACUAUAUCAAGCUGCCCGGGGCCCGAUUGAACUUGGCCUUGAACACCUCCAGGGAUGGAGCAUCCACAACCACUCUAGGCAGCCUGUUCCAGCAUCUCACCACCCUCUCUGAGGAACAUCUUCCCCCAACAUCUAAAUUAAAUGUUCCCUUGUUUAGUUUAAAACCAUUUCCUCUUGUCAAAUAUAUAGACUUAUACAGAUUAAGUGGCUUCCAAAAUAAAGAAUAAGUACUUAAGGCCAUUAUACUUUGAUUUUAGCUCACUGGUCUGUUUUUAAAUGUCUUCCAAGCCUUUUCUUUGUUAGCCAUAUUAAUUUAACUGGAGUCCACUGAUGUUAGAACCAGGUCAUCAACACCACCACUGACUUCCAGAUAUAUUUCUUCCUUCCUUUUUGUG